AUUGAACGCUGGCGGCAGGCCUAACACAUGCAAGUCGAGCGAGCGGGGGACGGGCGAGUAAUGUAUGGGGACUGCUUGCUCGAGGGGGGUAACUACUGGAAACGGUGGCUAAUUCCGCCUACUGUCGGAUAAUCUAUAUGGGAUGAGCUAGUAGGUAAGGUAAUGGCUUACUAAGGCGACGAUCCCUAGCUGGUCUGAGAGGAUGAUCAGCCACACUGGGACUGAGACACGGCCCAGACUCCUACGGAGGCAGCAGUGGGGAAUAUUGCACAAUGGGCGCAAGCCUGAUGCAGCCAUGCCGCGUGUAUGAAGAAGGCCCUAGGGUUGUAAAGUACUUUCAGUCGGGAGGCGUUACCGACAGAAGAAGCACCGGCUAACUCCGUGCCAGCAGCCGCGGUAAUAC
rnacentral:rRNA from 1 species